UGACCCAUAACUCCAUAAGAUCGAAUAGACGUCAAUAACCCUCGAUUAACCUAAGACAACAAUAGCCGUCCAAGUAUCUAUUCAUUAUUCUUUCUUUCUCUUAACGUCUACUCACCUUCUUAAACAUCCCUUCAAACCCAAACAUCUACUCAUAUAACUUAAAUCUUACCCCAAAUUCACUAUUCAUUCACUUCAAAACCCUUACUCCUCUUCGAGCGAUUUCAAUCAUUCCACUCCUCUUCCGACGAUUUCAACCAUUCCACUCCUUCUUCCGUUGAUCUUCGAACGUUCGCAAGUUCAAUUACUCAUCUUCUCCUCUGUUCCAUCCGCAUUCAAACCAUCCUGGUCGAUCUUAUCAGGUAGGAUCGUCAGUUUUUAUUUUGGUGUUGACACUUCCAGCCAACACAAUUCUCCCAAGCUCCUGUCGUAGUCCUCUGUCCAUACCACCUUCGGGUCUACCGUUUUCAACAGUUGGAAAACGGGCGGAGGCGAUCUGCACAUGCAUGUCCUCUUGGGAGGAAUCGGCUGAGGGUCGUUACCAUCUCGUUCAAACAUUGGACCAUCUUAAUUAUCCCGGGAUAUGUCAUGGUCGUGACGGCCUUUACCUUUUACUUUAUAGGUUUGAUCCGGAACCCUAGGAGUUAUCCAUCGUUAACCCCGAAGAUCUACUUCUUGGCCUUCAUCCUUAGGCCCGCUAGUCGUAUAUUGGCAAAGAUCCCCUCCAAGUCGCGUAGGUAGAUUUCGGCUUUUUGGGAUUGAACGUAGUAUGUCGUCUACGCAGACUUCAAAGUUCUUGUCGAUUUUCUUUUCAACUACACGAUCCAUCAGUUUCUAACAUACCGAACGACAUCACUCGGAAGCACAACGUCCCAUCUCCGUGAUAAAGGACGUUUUUUCCUCAUCUUUUAGGGUCAUCGGGACCUACUUGCAUCUUGAGUGCGCGUCCUUGAAGCUUAGUAGUUCGCACCCCGAGCUCUGGUCUACCAAGUGGUCUACGGAUGGGAGUGGAUAGUUGUUCUCAGGGCAUGCCAUGUUCAAGUUUGUGAAAUUCAUGCACAUGCACUAUCCGGCGUCUUCCUUUCGGACCUUCUUUAUGUUCGACAACCAAUCCGGGUAACGGUACCGGACGGAUGAAGUCGGUCCGUAAGAGUUUUGUGACCUCCUCCCAUCCAGUUUCUCUCUUCUCGGCCCUUAAAAAUCACAUUCUUUGUCUGACCGCUCAUGCCCUUGGCGCUACUUCAAGCGUAUGCUCGGCCAAAGUCUGGGCCACGCCCUGACUCUCCGAAAUCCUUUGCGAACAUAUCCUCGUUUUUCCUCAUGAGCUUUUCUAGUUCCCCCUUCAGAGCUCGUGGCUUCGGGACGCGGUGUCCCGUUGGGAUCACCGUCGUCCUUCUUGCGGUUCAGCCAUGGAUCUUAAUUAGCUUGCUUAGAACCUUAGCCAGGUUCAUGCACUCCCCCGUCGUACGCCCUGUAUGCUCAUGGUAUUCACAGUAGAGGUUAUCGUCCUUGAAUAUGGUUGUGUCCUCCCACACGGGGUGUGCUAUCGGUAGGUUCCUGCGGGUUUCUCCCAGUGUGAGGAAUACCUAAAGUUGGUUCAUUGCAGGGGCUGGUCCGAAUUGUCUACGCCCCACAUUGGUUUUUGGGGUCUGGCCAUCAGGCCUGGUUCUGCUUUCGGGGUCCUUGGUUGUGACGGUGUCGGCCCCUCCCUUGUACGAUGUAUUCUUCGAGCCACCCCCCUUUGAUGUGAUUUCUUCCAUCAUGAGUCCACUCACGAUUUCAGUUUCCAGACCGCGGCUUUCUUCCGAGAUUUCAGACAGAUUCCAGAUAGAUUUCACCGUGAUUUUUGCGAUCUGAUGGAAAGAAAUUUCAGAUCACGUCUGUUUCGAAAUCGAUUCCAGACCGAUUUCUUCCAUCGCGCCGUUGUCAGAUCGUCAUUCCGUCCGUGAUUUCAGAUCUUCCGUCCAGAUCUUUGAUUUCAGAUCUUCGAUUUCAGACCGAUUUCCAGAUCGAUUCCUGAUUUCUCACGUAAUUUUAACACGAUUCUGACACGGAUCUGAUUUUGCGAUUUACGAUUCUGAAAUUAAAUAAUCAGAUAAUUUUGACACGGAUUCUGGAAUUAAAUAAUCGUGACUUAGAUCUUAUUUUUUUUGUGAUUAAUCUUUGAGGAUUAAUUCUUCAAAUUUCCAGACUGCCUCACGAUUUCUCACAUACUGCGAUCUCUCUGUAAAUGCUAUUUCAGACUUUUUUUUCUUGAAAUUUUGGGGUUUAUUUUCUGAUUCCAGACUGUACGAGAUGUUGCAAAUUGGGAUUGUUUUUGUGGAUUCUUUUUAUGCUUGCGAUUUAGAUACCAGACUACAAAUUUUUUUUGGAAUUGCAUUCCACUAAGGUCUGGAAUUUUAAUUGUUCUUCUUUAGUUUUGCAAUUGGUUCAAUGGACCUCAUACAUCUGCAGAGAUUUACACUAUUCAAUUCAUGAAAUUUCAACUCUCUAUUGUGAUAACACGUCAUCAAUUUUUACAGCACAAAAUCUUGUAAUUAGAAAUAAAUCUAAACACAUUAAAACAAAAUUACACUUCGUUAGAGAACUAAUCUCUAAACUAAACAUUAAAGUUAUUCAUAUAUGUUCGUCUGAUCAAAUUUCUGAUAUUUUUACUAAAUUAGUGUCAAGUAGGAUUUUCUACCGUUUAUAUAUAGAAAGUUAAACAUGAUCUUCAAAGCAAGAUAAAGAUAAGUUAGAAAUUAUUAAUAUGAUGGUUCUAAUUGUUCUUUUUAUUUAUGCUUAUUGCAGAUGAAGAUCAAGGUCACAAAUACCUUCACGAAGUGGAUGGUGUUGGUAGUUUAUAUCAAAAGAAUAAUACUUGCCGUUGUUGUUAGUUUUUUUCUUUCCCUUGCAUGUUAUUGCCAUUGCUAUUGUAGGAGGGUCAAAUAAAGAUAUGACUGAUGACUAUUGCUGAAUUGAUUAGCAAUUAAUGUGAAUUAAAGAAUAAUAUUGGUGGAUAGUUAGACAAAGAAGUAGGGUUUUCCCGAAUUUUUUGAAAAGAUGCAAAAGAAUUGAAAGCAUUCUGGUUUUUUCAUCCACUCCAUCAUGCCAUACUAGACUAUAUCACUCCUUUAAACAACACAAAGGCAAAUCAAUGGGGUGUCAAUCUAAAGGGAGAGGGUGUCAAGAGCAUUACAAUAUAUAUACCUUUUACAUUUGUAAUAUAGUUAAAUAGUUAGUUACACAACUUGGAUAUAAAAUACCUCGUAAACACAUUUUAGUUGGUUAAUGAAAGUCAUCAGUUUUGCACUAAUUACAGGGUUGAGAUAUUACUGAGACUUGCAGCCUAUUCUAUCCUCCAUGUUCGUACGGAAGACUUGCAGGAGGUCCUCCGGGUCAUUAUCCCCUCUAUAGGGGGUAAUUUUCGGGGAUCUCCAGUCAGGUGGGUAUUCCGCUUCCAGUAAGUGCAGAGCUGCGUUGCUCCCUGCUCCUCCGCUUCCGGAAUCUAGUGCUCUCUCUUGGUUCGUACACUGCCAGUGCAGAGCCUCUCCCCUGCCUCUUCCGUCAGAUUUUAGUGUAUGUGGGUGCAAAGUGAGCUGGAGGGAGUUGCUCCUGGAGUUGGCGUUGACUCUCCUACAGGUAAAAAAUCUUCGGCGAUAGGUAGAGUUCUGGAGUUGGCGUUCGUUUCUCCUUGUGCGUUGACGC
rnacentral:lncRNA from 1 species